rnacentral:misc_RNA from 1 species
UACGUAGGUGGCGAGUGUUAUUCGGAUUUACUGGGCGUAAAGGGUUCGUAGGGGGCUGGUUAAGUCCUGUGUGAAAGCCCGCGGCUCAACCGCGGAACGUCAUGGGAUACUGACUGGCUAGAGGGUCGGAGAGGAGAGUGGAAUACCUGGUGUAGCGGUGGAAUGCGUAGAUAUCAGGUAGAACACCGAUGGCGAAGGCAGCUCUCUGGACGACACCUGACCCUGAGGAACGAAAGCUGGGGGAGCAAACAGG